rnacentral:rRNA from 1 species
GACGAACGCUGGCGGCGUGCUUAACACAUGCAAGUCGAACGGAAAGGCCUGCUUUCCCUUGUGGAUUGCGGGUACUCGAGUGGCGAACGGGUGAGUAACACGUGAGUGAUCUGCCCCCAACUUGGGUAUAAGCCUGGGAAACUGGGUCUAAUUCCCGAUAGGACUGCAGGGUGGUGCCUGUGGUGGAACACGAUUUUCUAGUGGUUGGGGAUGAGCUCGCGGCCUAUCAGCUUGUUGGUGGGGUAAUGGCCUACCAAGGCGGCGACGGGUAGCCUGCCUGAGAGGGCGGACGGCCACAUUGGGACUACGAUACCGCCCAGACUACUACGGUAGGCAGCAGUGUGGAAUAGUGCACAAUGGGCGGAAGCCUGAUGCAGCGACGCCGCGGGGGGGAUGACGGCCUUCGGGUUGUAAACUCCUUUCGACCGCGAGGAAGCCACCUGGUUGGAAGGGUGGUGACGGUAGUGGUAGAAGAAGCACCGGCUAACUACGUG